rnacentral:lncRNA from 1 species
ACACACUUCAGCGAUUAUUCCAUAGAUUAAUUUCCAGUUGUAUCCAAUACAAUGAUUAGAGCUCUUGGGAGCUUACAGAGUGGCUGAUGGUAUUAAUUUAUUGUAAUUUUGAUAACUUUACACCUAUGAUCAGAGUAAAAAGGAUUAUUAAAAAAUUAGCAUUUGAGUAUUUUGUUACACUGUUACUAUGUAUCAAAUGAUUGUGUACAAACACGUACAUUGUGCGUAUGUAUUAUCUUUCUGUUUGCUAAUGAACAUGGUAGGUUUUUAUGGAGCUCUUUAUUACCGCAUAUUGAUUUCUUGUGUCUUUUCAAUCUGUUUGCGCCCUUUUUUUUAUUUUAGUUCGCAGUGGGAAACAUUACAGAAAGAUGCCACAGACCUGGGACAGCUGAAAGGUAUCAGGGAACCCCUGAGGCGGCUACAGCUCAUCCUCUGGGGAUUCAGUGCAAUCCAAUUAUAUGAUACAACUUUAGCUCAGCAUAUGGAAUAUUUCAUGAAUCAUGAAAUAAAAUCCAACUUUAUAUUAGCUUGGGUUCUUCAGUGAUUUUAUUUUCAAAUGCUUUUGUUCUCUUUUAAGGGUAUGAUGUAGUAUUGAGGAUUUUUGGUUUUUUAUUUUUUUUUCUUGAUUUCUUAGCACUCCGGCUGAUUUACAAGUGAUUGCUAGUAGUAUAUUGUAGGAAAGAAAGAUAAAUGACUAGAUUUAGAAAAAAAUGCUAUAAUGUAUCUGUAUCUGCUAGUUU